rnacentral:rRNA from 1 species
GCCGAACGCUGGCGGCGUGCUUAACACAUGCAAGUCGAACGGAAAGGCCUCUUUCGGGGGGUACUCGAGUGGCGAACGGGUGAGUAACACGUGAGUAACCUGCCCUUGACUUUGGGAUAACUUCAGGAAACUGGGGCUAAUACCGGAUAGGAGCUCCUGCUGCAUGGUGGGGGUUGGAAAGUUUCGGCGGUUGGGGAUGGACUCGCGGCUUAUCAGCUUGUUGGUGGGGUAGUGGCUUACCAAGGCUUUGACGGGUAGCCGGCCUGAGAGGGUGACCGGCCACAUUGGGACUGAGAUACGGCCCAGACUCCUACGGGAGGCAGCAGUGGGGAAUAUUGCACAAUGGGUGGAAGCCUGAUGCAGCAACGCCGUGUGCGGGAUGACGGCCUUCGGGUUGUAAACCGCUUUCGCUCAUGACGAAGCUUUGUGUGACGGUAGUGGGUAAAGAAGCACCGGCUAACUACGUG